GCUCUUGUGGCGCAAUUGGCUAGCGCGUUCGGCUGUUAGGGGCGGGUCCUUCAUGGGUACCACUCAAAGCUACCGGAAGGUUGGUGGUUCAAGCCCACCCAGGAGCG